rnacentral:rRNA from 1 species
GAUGAACGCUGGCGGCGUGCCUAAUACAUGCAAGUCGAGCGAAUGGAUUAAGAGCUUGCUCUUAUGAAGUUAGCGGCGGACGGGUGAGUAACACGUGGGUAACCUGCCCAUAAGACUGGGAUAACUCCGGGAAACCGGGGCUAAUACCGGAUAAAAUUUUGAACCGCAGGGUUCGAAAUUGAAAGGCGGCUUCGGCUGUCACUUAUGGAUGGACCCGGGUCGCAUUAGCUAGUUGGUGAGGUAACGGCACACCAAGGCAACGAUGCGUAGCCGACCUGAGAGGGUGAUCGGCCACACUGGGACUGAGACACGGCCCAGACUCCUACGGGAGGCAGCAGUAGGGAAUCCUCCGCAAUGGACGAAAGUCUGACGGAGCAACGCCGCGUGAGUGAUGAAGGCUUUCGGGUCGUAAAACUCUGUUGUUAGGGAAGAACAAGUGCUAGUUGAAUAAGCUGGCACCUUGACGGUACCUAACCAGAAAGCCACGGCUAACUACGUGCCAGCCGCCGCCGUAA